GAUGAACGCUGGCGGCGUGCCUAAUACAUGCGAGUCGAGUGAACGGACGAGAAGCUUGCUUCUCUGAUGUUAGCGGCGGACGGGUGAGUAACACGUGGAUAACCUACCUAUAAGACUGGGAUAACUUCGGGAAACCGGAGCUAAUACCGGAUAAUAUUUUGAACCGCAUGGUUCAAAAGUGAAAGACGGUCUUGCUGUCACUUAUAGAUGGAUCCGCGCUGCAUUAGCUAGUUGGUAAGGUAACGGCUUACCAAGGCAACGAUGCAUAGCCGACCUGAGAGGGUGAUCGGCCACACUGGAACUGAGACACGGUCCAGACUCCUACGGGAGGCAGCAGUAGGGAAUCUUCCGCAAUGGGCGAAAGCCUGACGGAGCAACGCCGCGUGAGUGAUGAAGGUCUUCGGAUCGUAAAACUCUGUUAUUAGGGAAGAACAUAUGUGUAAGUAACUGUGCACAUCUUGACGGUACCUAAUCAGAAAGCCACGGCUAACUACGUG
rnacentral:rRNA from 1 species